GGGCAUGUACAUCAUCCUCUCCCGCAAGUUUUCUCUUUGACUCUCUGCUCUUGUAUUUUUUUUUGAAGAGGCUCAUUGCAUGUCGACACGUGUCCCAUUCUCUGUUCGUGUGAUUUUUUUUCCCACUUUUCCCCUGACGAUAACAGAACUCUCUGUGCGCAUUUUCUUUUAAACAUAUGAUGGAAGGGGAGGCUCAGGGCAUAGGAUGUCAAUGUGUCCUUUUUAAAAAAGUGAUAUGUGGCGCAUUGGGAGAGCUCUAAACUCUCCUUUCAUGUAUUGUAUAGAUGUUAGUCAAUGAAACUCUUUCAUCAGAAGCUAAAUGAUGAGGAGAUGUGACCAUCUAUAGG
rnacentral:lncRNA from 1 species